GUUUGACUGGGGCGGUCGCCUCCCAAAGAGUAACGGAGGCGUCCAAUGCUCACCUCAGGCUGGUUGGAAACUAGCUUUAAGAGUACAAAGGCAGAAGGUGGGUUUACUGCGAGACAAACAAGUCGAGCAGUUGCGAAAGCAGGGCUUAGUGACCCUUUGGCGGUGUAUGGGUGCGCCAAAGAUCAUCGGAUAUAAGCUACCCCGGGGAUAACAGGCUUAUCUUGCCCAAGCGCUCACAGCGACGGCAAGGUUUGGCACCUCGAUGUCGGCUCGUCGCAUCCUGGGGCUGUAUUCGGUCCCAAGGGUUGGGCUGUUCUCCCAUUAAAGCGGUACGCGAGCUGGGUUCAGAACGUCGUGAGACAGUUCGGUCCCUAUCCGCGGCGGGCGAAGAAGUUUUGAGAGGGGCUGACCCUAGUACGAGAGGACCGGGUUGGACGGACCGCUGGUGUACCAAUUGUGCCGCCAGGCGCAGACGUUGGGUAGCUAUGUCCGGGAGCGAUAAACGCUGAAAGCAUAUAAGCGUGAAGCGCGCCUCAAGAUGAGAACUUCCAUAGCAUAAGCUAGUAAGGUCCCCGGAAGACUACCGGGUUGAUAGGCGGGAUGUGUAAGCACAGUAAUGUGUUGAGCUGACCCGUACUAAGUGACCGAGGGUUUUAA
rnacentral:rRNA from 1 species